CCUACGGGCGGCAGCAGUGAGGAAUAUUGGUCAAUGGACGAGAGUCUGAACCAGCCAAGUAGCGUGAAGGAUGACUGCCCUAUGGGUUGUAAACUUCUUUUAUAAAGGAAUAAAACGUUGCACGUGUGCGUUUUUGCAUGUACCAUAUGAAUAAGGAUCGGCUAACUCCGUGCCAGCAGCCGCGGUAAUACGGAGGAUCCGAGCGUUAUCCGGAUUUAUUGGGUUUAAAGGGAGCGUAGGUGGGUUGUUAAGUCAGUUGUGAAAGUUUGCGGCUCAACCGUAAAAUUGCAAUUGAAACUGGCAGUCUUGAGUACAGUUGAGGGAGGCGGAAUUCGUGGUG
rnacentral:rRNA from 1 species